rnacentral:rRNA from 1 species
CCCUUAGAUGUUCUGGGCUGCACACGUGCUACACUGGCAGGUUCAGCGAGCUUCAUGCCCUGAUCUGAAAGGAAUGGGAAAUCUUUUCAAAACCUGCCGUGCUUGGGAUAGAUGUUUGCAAUUAUUCAUCUUCAACGAGGAUUGCCUUGUAAGCGCACGUCAUCAGCGUGCAUUGAAUACGACCCUGUAUUCUGUACACACCGCCCGUCGCUCCUACCGAUGGAAGUUUUCGGUGAGUUGACAGGAGGAUUUUUUUGAAACUGGUUCGCCAGUGGAUUUUAGAUCCAAAUGCCAACGAAUCGAUGGCUUUAGAGGAAGGAGAAGUCGUAACA